rnacentral:rRNA from 1 species
UAAGAAUAUUCCGCAAUGGACGAAAGUCUGACGGAGCGACGCCGCGUGGAUGAAGAAGGCCGAAAGGUUGUAAAAUCCUUUUGUCGAUGAAGAAUAAGCAUGGGAGGGAAUGCCCGUGUGAUGACGUUAGUCGGCGAAUAAGCCCCGGCUAAUUACGUGCCAGCAGCCGCGGUAACACGUAAGGGGCGAGCGUUGUUCGGAAUUAUUGGGCGUAAAGGGCGCGUAGGCGGUCCUGUAAGCCCGGCGUGAAAACCUGGAGCUCAACUCCGGGCCUGCGCUGGGAACUGCGGGACUAGAGUCAUGGAAGGGAAGUUGGAAUUCCAGGUGUAGGGGUGAAAUCUGUAGAUAUCUGGAAGAACACCGGUGGCGAAGGCGAACUUCUGGCCAAUGACUGACGCUGAGGCGCGAAAGUGCGGGGAGCAAAC